CGGUAGACUACACAUGCAGUCGACGGUAACGGACCGCUGGGAUAUACCUAUACGGGAUAGACCUAUAGGUGCCGACGAGUGGCGGACGGGUGAGUAACACGUAGGAAUCUGCCCAACAGUGGGGGACAACCCGGAGAAAUCCGGGCUAAUACCGCAUACGCCCUACGGGGGAAAGCGGGGGAUCUUCGGACCUUGCGCUGUUGGGGGAGCCUGCGUCGGAUUAGCUUGUUGGUGAGGUAAAGGCUCACCAAGGCUACGAUCCGUAGCUGGUCUGAGAGGAUGAUCAGCCACACUGGGACUGAGACACGGCCCAGACUCCUACGGGAGGCAGCAGUGGGGAAUAUUGCACAAUGGGCGAAAGCCUGAUGCAGCCAUACCGCGUGGGUGAAGAAGGCCUUAGGGUUGUAAAGCCCUUUCAGCAGGGAAGAAGGGUGCGAGGUUAAUACCCUCGUAUUUUGACGGUACCUGCAGAAGAAGCACCGGCUAACUCCGUGCCAGCAGCCGCGGUAAUACGGAGGGUGCAAGCGUUAAUCGGAAUUACUGGGCGUAAAGCGCGCGUACGCGGUCUGUUCAUUCAUAUGUGAAACCCCCGGUCUCACCGUGGAAUUUGCAUUUGAUACUGCCAGACUCGAGUGUGUUAGGGGGAAGUAAAACUCAGAGUGUGGGUGAAAAGCGCGUAUAUAUCGGGGGACACCCCGGGGUAGAGGCGCCACUCCGUGGCCACCUCAGUGGCCUGUGGUGUGAAAGCGCUGUGGCGAUCACACGGAGAUUGAUAUCCCCGGGUGUCCCCGCCUGUUAACGGUGUCUCUACUGACGUCCCGAUAGCCUGACCCCUUUGGGGGGGCCGGCUAAGCCCGAUUAGCUAGACCCGCGGGGGGAGACUACGGGGCGUCUAGGGAUUAGACUCACGGGAACUGGACGGGGGGGCCGCGUCUACAGGCCGGGUGGAGUCAUGAUGUAUUAGAUCGAAUGGCAGCGCGAUGACGCGUACCGUGCGCGUGACAUCAUCGGAGUCGUCGUGGCUAGCGGACUGGUGCCAUACAGGGACGUAUGACAGGUGCUGCAUUGCUGCGUC
rnacentral:rRNA from 1 species